AGAGUUUGAUCAUGGCUCAGAACGAACGUUGGCGGCACGCUUAAUACAUGCAAGUCGAACGAGAAACUUGGUUCGCCAAGUGGAAAGUGGCAGACGGUUGAGUAACGCGUGGGAAUCUACCUAGAGGUUCGGAAUAACUAUUGGAAACGAUAGCUAAUACCGGAUAAGCCCUUCGGGGGAAAGAUUUAUUGCCUUUAGAUGAGCCCGCGUCGGAUUAGCUAGUUGGUAAGGUAACGGCUUACCAAAGCUACGAUCCGUAGCUGAUCUGAGAGGAUGAUCAGCCAGAUUGGGACUGAGACACGGCCCAGACUCCUACGGGAGGCAGCAGUAGGGAAUAUUGCGCAAUGGGGGAAACCCUGACGCAGCGAUGCCGCGUGAGUGAAGAAGGCCUUAGGGUUGUAAAACUCUUUCAGUGGUGAAGAUAAUGACGGUAACCACAGAAGAAGCUCCGGCUAACUCCGUGCCAGCCGCCGCGGU
rnacentral:rRNA from 1 species